AUUGAACGCUGGCGGCAGGCCUAACACAUGCAAGUCGAACGAGUGGCGGACGGGUGAGUAAUGUCUGGGAAACUGCCCGAUGGAGGGGGAUAACUCCUGGAAACGGUAUCUAAUACCGCAUACCAUCGGAUGUGCCCAGAUGGGAUGAGCUUGUAGGGGAGGUAACGGCUCACCUAGGCGACGAUCCCUAGCUGGUCUGAGAGGAUGCCCAGAUACACUGGAACUGAGACACGGCCAAGACUCCUACGGGAGUCAGCAGGGGGGAAUAUUGCACAAUGGGGGAAAGCCUGAUGCAGCCAUGCCGCGGGUAUGAAGAAGGCCUUCGGGUUGUAAAGUACUUUCGGCCGGGAGGCGUUACCCGCAGAAGAAGCACCGGCUAACUCCGUGCCAGCAGCCGCGGUAAUUC
rnacentral:rRNA from 1 species